GGCUGGCUGGCGCAAUGGUAGCGCGCACCCCUCCUAAGGGUGAGGCUGUCGGUUCGAGUCCGACGUCGGUCG